rnacentral:rRNA from 1 species
ACGCACGCUUGCGGCAUGCCUCACACAUGCAAGUCGAACGAGACCUUCGGGUCUAGUGGCGCACGGUUGCGUCACGCGUGGGAACCUGCCCUUAGGUUCGGAAUAACUCCCCGAAAGGGGUGCUAAUACCGGAUAAUGUCUUCGGACCAAAGAUUUAUCGCCUUUGGAUGGGCCCGCGUUGGAUUAGCUAGUUGGUAGGGUAAAAGCCUACCAAGGCGACGAUCCAUAGCUGGUGUGAGAGGAUGAUCAGCCACACUGGGACUGAGACACGGCCCAGACUCCUACGGGAGGCAGCAGUGGGGAAUAUUGGAAAAUGGGCGAAAGCAUGAUCCAGCAAUGCCGCGUGAGUGAUGAAGGCAUUAGGGUUGUAAAGCUCUUUUACCCGGGAUGAUAAUGACAGUACCGGGAGAAUAAGCUCCGGCUAACUCCGUG